ACGCGCGGAACCUUACCAGGUCUUGACAUCCUCUGACACUCCUAGAGAUAGGACGUUCCCCUUCGGGGGACAGAGUGACAGGUGGUGCAUGGUUGUCGUCAGCUCGUGUCGUGAGAUGUUGGGUUAAGUCCCGCAACGAGCGCAACCCUUGAUCUUAGUUGCCAGCAUUGAGUUGGGCACUCUAAGGUGACUGCCGGUGACAAACCGGAGGAAGGUGGGGAUGACGUCAAAUCAUCAUGCCCCUUAUGACCUGGGCUACACACGUGCUACAAUGGAUGGUACAAAGGGCAGCGAAGCCGCGAGGUGAAGCGAAUCCCAUAAAACCAUUCUCAGUUCGGAUUGUAGGCUGCAACUCGCCUACAUGAAGCCGGAAUCGCUAGUAAUCGCGGAUCAGCAUGCCGCGGUGAAUACGUUCCCGGGCCUUGCACACACCGCCCGU
rnacentral:rRNA from 1 species